UAAGACCCAGCCCACACAAAACUACCGAAACCCAGUUGUCCGCCUACUCAUUCAUAAACCCUAAUUUGAGGAUCAUCACUUCAUUGCUAAUAUAUAUUGUCAUCCUCCUUCUCACAUUCUCAGACAAACACUGUUUUAGGUGACGAUACAUUUUGUGGACUAGAGUUUCUGAUGUGGGAAUCUUCACCCAGAAAUUGAUUACAAAACCCUUGGCUGUCUGAGCGCAAAUGAUUUCUCCAAUUUCGUAUGAAUUAGGGUUAUAUCUUUUAGAUCUUGAAAAUCAAUUUGGCUUAUGAUGAUAAUAUACUUUAUCUUAGCGGAUUUCAGUGAGAUUUUUUAUCAAGGAUCUGAUUGUUACACACGCUGAAGCUAUUUUUCAUUGCUUUUUGUGUUGUUAAUUCUUACCGAACCAAUUGAUCUUUUUCUCGUUUUGUGAUUUAUUCCUUUUGUUAUUAAAUUGUAUUGCGUCCAUUUACCAAUUCUGAAGGAUUAAUUGUUCCUUUCAGUGUAAUGGCUCGGACGCCAGAUCGAUUUUGUGGUGAUCCUGACGGAUGGGUUUUAUUCAAUACCAUUUGGUCUUGGAAACGCCUCAAACAUUCUUUUUCUAAUCAUUGAAGAAACUUUGAUACGAAUACUUUUCAAUAUUUAUAUUCCAGUGUUUAAGUUCUAGAUUCCAUUGGCUUUGACAGUUAAACUGAUAUUAAUCGGAUCUGAAUCAUCUGUUGAGUUUGACGGAAAUUGGUACUUUGUUAUCAGAUAUCAUUAAUCUUGAGUGUACCAAUUUCUUUCAAAUUCAUCAGUUGAACAUGAUCCAGUUGGAGUUCCCUUAUACCAUCCGUUUAUCUAUUGUUAUAAAGAUAAAAUGUGGGAUCGAACUAUCGAGGCACCAUUAUAUCAUAGUUGAGGGUUUUUGUCUUAUGGCAUGUUCCAAUCUCGUGCUCAUCCAUAUGCACAUGCUCAUGUACAAUCUACUUUCAGGCGUUUGAUUGACCACAUUUUGGCGGACGAAGGACGGCAUUUGUUUCAAUUCAUACAAUGAUACAUGUCAAACACGACCUUUAAAGGAUGUUUUUUUUCCACCUCAUUUCCUAGUUCUAAUUAUAUUAAACGAUUUAUUUUUAUCUGUUGCUUGUAAUGUCAUUUAGGAUUACUAAUUAUUUGGUUCAAUUAGUUUUGCCUUUAAUUGACAACAGAUAUUCUCUUUUAUAUGUAAUGUUGGAUGAUCAGUAAUAAUACAAAAUAAAUAGUACGAAUGCCAUAUUUAAAUA